rnacentral:rRNA from 1 species
AGAUUGAACGCUGGCGGCAUGCUUUACACAUGCAAGUCGAACGGUAACAGGCCGCAAGGUGCUGACGAGUGGCGAACGGGUGAGUAAUGUAUCGGAACGUGCCCAGUCGUGGGGGAUAACGCAGCGAAAGCUGCGCUAAUACCGCAUACGAUCUAUGGAUGAAAGCGGGGGACCGUAAGGCCUCGCGCGAUUGGAGCGGCCGAUAUCAGAUUAGGUAGUUGGUGGGGUAAAGGCUCACCAAGCCAACGAUCUGUAGCUGGUCUGAGAGGACGACCAGCCACACUGGGACUGAGACACGGCCCAGACUCCUACGGGAGGCAGCAGUGGGGAAUUUUGGACAAUGGGCGCAAGCCUGAUCCAGCAAUGCCGCGUGACAGGAAGAAGGUCCUUCGGGUUGUAAACUGUCUUUUUGUACGGAACGUAAACGGUCCUAGGUUAAUACCGUGGGCUAA